UGGAACCCUCUCCCUGGAGCCUUCAACCCUAUCAUCUAUAUAGCCUCUUUUGCCUAUCAAAACAGGUAACCUCUACCUCCAAGCCAUCCUCCCCCUCCUAAAGCAUUUCAAAAAGAAAGGAAGAGAAAUUGAGGAAAAGAAAAAUGAAGGUUAAGUUUCUAGCUUGGACCUUCUCCAUCUUUUGUAGCAUGGCCCUUCAUCGAGUUACAUCCACUCCACAACAUGAAGAUUUCGACAAGCCAGAACCUCCUAUGCCAGGACAAGUUCACGAUCUAGAAGGCAAGAUCGGUUUGCCUCGAGAAGGUGAAAGAAGAGAAUACAAGGGAAAGCAUCAGAUUUUUCACUCAAUAAAGGGACGGAAAGGAAAGGGAGCUUAUGGUGGUGCAAAUAGUAUCCAUCGGCCUAAGCACGGGGGAAGAAGUGAUGCCUUAUUGUCAGCAAAGGCUAGCAGCUUUGUGACAGCCACCAUGUUGUGUGUGAGCUUGGCUUUCAUUCUCGUAUUUCCUUUUCUAUCACUCUAGAUCUUACAAACUGGGCAUAUUUACGGAUCCAAGAUUAUGGUAGCUAGCUUGCUUUAGUUAUGGCCCCUCAUGCCUCAUUUCUCAGUCGACUCCCAAUUACAUUUGGUAGCUUUACAGGCAUCCUUGAAGUACAUGGAAAUUCUUGUUUGAUUACGGCCCCUCGUUCCCCCUUUCUCUGGUUCCUGGUAUUGAUUUUGUGGUUUUGUGGUAUUUCUUUCAGCAUAAUUAUUUUUCAUGUAGCAUGACAAACGAUCAAGUGUUGUCUUUGUCAAUGACUGUCCUAGAAUUAUCUUUCACCAUCAUGUUUGACCAUCUCAGUACUGAGCUUGUACUGGCGCAUCGGCCAGCUUUCCUCCA